rnacentral:lncRNA from 1 species
UCCUUCAAUAAAAUUUCAUAACUUCUUUAAAAAAAAAUCCGAUGGAUGUAAUUAAUUGUCAAAAGAAAAGGUUUUCGCCAGCAUCUCCAGGUAAAACCAAGAUUUGCUCUUACUUUCACACCACAAGAAGGCCCCUUAUUCAAAACCUCACCCUCAAAAAAAAAAAAAAAAAUUAAACAAUUAUGGUCCUUUCGAUAAGCUCUAUAAAUUUUUUUUUUUAAAAAAAAACAAAUUAGAAUACAAGACAUUCAAGGCAUGCCACUGCGAUUAACUUGAUCCAUGGCCUUAGCCUGAACUUGACUGAGGCCACUGCCCCGAAAGAGUGGGACCGUCAGUGGCCCCGCGACCACGCUGGUUAUUAACAGGCUCAAGGUGCUGUCCAUCUGUGCCAUAACCAUGCCUCUUAUAAUCCUCUAAGUUUGAGUGCUUUACGUAAGGGCUGCUUUCAAGCGGCAGCCCCUCCGUCGGCUGCCGCCCGUCACCGCCGGAAACAUGCUGCCCGCCUCCCCGAUUGGCCUCGCCGCACAUCGCCUGCUGCCCGCCGACGCCGGGAUUGGCUGGUCCGCUGGCCCAAUUAGCCAUCGGGCCUGAUCUCUCCUGCUCAUCCGUCCUCAUCAACUUGGGUUGCUCUACGUUGCUCGACAUUCUGCGCCAUUUGUUUUCCUAUGCUUU